UACGUAGGUGGCAAGCGUUGUCCGGAAUUAUUGGGCGUAAAGCGCGCGCAGGCGGUCUUUUAAGUCUGAUGUGAAAGCCCACGGCUCAACCGUGGAGGGUCAUUGGAAACUGGGAGACUUGAGUGCAGAAGAGAAGAGUGGAAUUCCACGUGUAGCGGUGAAAUGCGUAGAGAUGUGGAGGAACACCAGUGGCGAAGGCGACUCUGUGGUCUGUAACUGACGCUGAGGCGCGAAAGCGUGGGUAGCAAACAGG
rnacentral:rRNA from 1 species